rnacentral:rRNA from 1 species
AAUAGAUACCCUGGUAGUCCACGCCGUAAACGUUGGGCGCUAAGUGUGGGGUCCGUUCCACGGGUUCCGUGCCGCAGCUAACGUAUUAAGCGCCCCGCCUGGGGAGUACGGCCGCAAGGCUAAAACUCAAAGGAAUUGACGGGGGCCCGCACAAGCGGCGGAGCAUGCGGAUUAAUUCGAUGCAACGCGAAGAACCUUACCAAGGCUUGACAUGGGCGGUAAUCCGGUAGAGAUGUCGGGUCCGUAAGGGCCGUUCACAGGUGGUGCAUGGUUGUCGUCAGCUCGUGUCGUGAGAUGUUGGGUUAAGUCCCGCAACGAGCGCAACCCUUGUUCCAUGUUGCCAGCACUUCGGGUGGGGACUCAUGGGAGACUGCCGGGGUCAACUCGGAGGAAGGUGGGGAUGACGUCAAAUCAUCAUGCCCCUUAUGUCUUGGGCUUCACGCAUGCUACAAUGGCCAGUACAAAGGGCUGCGAGACCGUGAGGUGGAGCGAAUCCCAAAAAGCUGGUCUCAGUUCGGAUCGGGGUCUGCAACUCGACCCCGUG